UUGUAACCCAAGCGGGUACAUUAUUAAGAUGGAUGGUUGGACACCGAGUUUGUUUCACCGGGUAGGUUCGUUCUUGCGCGCACAAUUAUCUCGACACGAUCCUGGCGUAAGCUGGGGUCGUGCAGCCACUAAAGCGACGGGCACCGCGUCAGGCUGGCUUCACAGAGCAGCGAACACCUCCUGAUCUUGACAGUGGAAGCCUGGUGAGCUGCCUAAAUUGCGUCUCAAGGCCAUGUAAAUCUCGGUUCUGGGUCGACAUCUAUAUUUGUGUAUGCAGUAUUUGGGUUGUCUAGGCAAAUAACAACUGGUCCGGUUCCGAUCACAUUGGUUUAUCAGUUGGUGUCUAAUGUAGUGGGGAAAAUUGCUGAUCCAACGGAUGAUUGUAUGAGGAACUUGCGAAGUUGUUGGUACUUAUGGUUGGAAUCUCUGGAAUAUGUAAUGGCCAAUGGGAAUCUUAAGGGCUUGGAUAGGUUGUAGGCUUCAUUAAUCACUUUGUAGUUCCAUGAAUGGCAAGCAGGAAUCUGCCUUACUCUUCUUGGGCAUGCCACCAAGGUUUUCUUUAUAUUAAGAGAAAUAUGUUGGCAAGCUUUACUCACGUUGUUGUGGAAGAUGCAGAAUGGGGAUGAUAAAUGGUCAAAGUUCCUUCAAGCCAAAAUUAAAAAUAAGAAGGGGGAGUGGAUCAACUAUUUUGGGUCGGUUUGAACUUUGAAAUGGAGUGUAUAUUUGAGUUCUUAUAUUUUGCAGCAUAAAUAUCUGAGAGUGGCUGAUUUGCUGCAUAAUGGUGAGUGGUGUACCCCUGUUGAGUGUCUUAAUGUCGUUUGAUGUGAAUGAGCUUUCCUAUAGUGGAUUGUGGUGUGGAUAGGAGAAUUUGGUGUGGUUGUAUCACUGGUAACUCUCAGUGGCUUCUGCUGUUAACUGCAUCGGACAAAAACUUCUCAGUGGGCUUUGUUGAUUAACUUUAGUCAGGUUUGUUUUCGGACCGACUCUAGAGCUGUCAUUACUGCUUUUGCUUCUGGCAAGAUCCCUUGGUUUGCUGUAACCAGGUGGAAUAAAAUUUGUAGGUUUUUUAAUGAUGGUUGAUGUGUUGUAGAAAGUGGUGGUAAAAAGAAGUUCGUUUCUCAGACUUGUAGAGAUUUGAUUUUAGAAUUAUAUUUUAAAAUAGAAAACUCA